UACGUAGGGUGCGAGCGUUGUCCGGAAUUAUUGGGCGUAAAGAGCGUGUAGGCGGUCAGGUAGGUCCGUUGUGAAAACUCGAGGCUCAACCUCGAGACGCCGAUGGAAACCAUCUGACUAGAGUCCGGAAGAGGAGAGUGGAAUUCCCGGUGUAGCGGUGAAAUGCGCAGAUAUCGGGAAGAACACCUGUGGCGAAGGCGGCUCUCUGGGACGGUACUGACGCUGAGACGCGAAAGCGUGGGGAGCGAACAGG
rnacentral:rRNA from 1 species